GUGGGGAAUUUUCCGCAAUGGGCGAAAGCCUGACGGAGUGACGCCGCGUGUGGGAUGAAGGCCUUCGGGUCGUAAACCACUGUCAGUGGGAAAGAAGGGUAUCGGCGUGAUAACCGCCGGUAUCUGACGGUACCUGCAGAGGAAGCCCCGGCUAACUCUGUGCCAGCAGCCGCGGUAAGACAGAGGGGGCAAGCGUUGCUCGGAAUUACUGGGCGUAAAGGGCGCGUAGGCGGGAUGGCAAGUCGGUCGUGAAAUCCCUCGGCUCAACCGAGGGGCGUCGAUCGAUACUGCUGUUCUUGAGGGUUGCAGAGGAGACUGGAAUUCCCGGUGUAGCGGUGAAAUGUGUAGAGAUCGGGAGGAACACCGGUGGCGAAGGCGGGUCUCUGGGCAAUUCCUGACGCUGAGGCGCGAAAGCGUGGGGAGCAAACGGGAUUAGAUACCCGGGUAGUCC
rnacentral:rRNA from 1 species